UACAGAGGGGGCAAGCGUUAUUCGGAAUUAUUGGGCGUAAAGGGCGCGUAGGCGGCCUGGCAAGUGGAAGGUGAAAUCCCUCGGCUUAACCGAGGAACUGCCCUCCAAACUGCUUGGCUUGAGUCCGGGAGAGGUGAGUGGAAUUCCCAGUGUAGCGGUGAAAUGCGUAGAUAUUGGGAGGAACACCAGUGGCGAAGGCGGCGACCUGGUCCGGGACUGACGCUGAGGCGCGAAAGCGUGGGGAGCAAACAGG
rnacentral:rRNA from 1 species